GGAGGCAAUCAGUGAAGUACUAGAUUGAAAGUAGUGAGCUGGAUUUUUGUAUGGCGAGAUGAUCAAUUCUCCAUUUCUGCAAUGAAAUGGUGCAAACAGCGUGGGUUAUAUGAUUUCUUGACUAAUUUGAUGCUGUUUGAGCAAAAGUUUGGAUAACUGUGUUGUUGAAGUUGCAAGAAAAAAUAAAACAACAACACAGUUAUUCAAACUUUUGCUCAAAUAGCAUCAAAUUAGACAAUAAAUCAUAUAACCCACGCUGUUUGCACCAUUUCAUUGCAGAAAUGGAGAAAUGAUCAUCUCGCCAUACAAAAAUCCAGCUCACUACUUUCAAUCUAGUACUUCACUGAUUGCCUCCUAUUGACCUUCUCACCAUACUAAAAUUCAGCUCAUUACUACAAAUCUAGUACUACACCGAACGUGCCCCAUUGGCUGUUUUGUGAGAUGUUCGAGCUGCUGCUGCCAGUAGUUCAAAUUAAGAUUAAAAUUGGUUAAAAUUAUAAUUACGAUGGUUCAAAUUAAGAUUAAAAUCAUUGUUGAUGAAAAAUAAAAUAUUUCAAUGAAAUUCGGUGCAAAUACAUACUUUUUACCAUUUAACAGAAAGCUUAUACCUGUGGCUUUCAUGUGCAUACGAUUUUGCCGUAGAGCGAUUCCAAGCAACAGCAUCAAAAUUAAGGAAAUUUUUUAAUUCAAGAUUUUCUAUUGAACUGAAACUUUGCACAGUAUUUCAGUUCCAUCUAAAUCACCAUUUUUCGAUAUCAAAUUUUUAUUUUGAAUCACGACUAACUUUUCAAAAGGGUGUAUGUGAAAAUGGUUCAAAAAUAUUCAAAAAACUGCACAGCCAAAAUGGUUCGUUCGAUUGUUAUGAAUUUUUCAGCAAAGUUAGAUAACUAAAUGAUGAUUCCUAAGAAAAUAUAGACUGUGAAAAAAAAUCUCUUUUAACAUGAAAAAAUAUAUUUUUUGCCACAAAAACUCAAAUAACUCAAAACCCUAUCUUUUUACCAACGUAAUUUUUUUAGCGAAGACGGUCCAUUAUAUUAGCAAUCUACCAUAAAAAUUUGGUGAUGGUAAACUAAUAAACAAAAAAGUUAUAACAUUUCAAAAAUUUCACAAUUUUCACAUUUGGUAAAUAUUUUUUCUGUGUAAAUUAUUUCGGUCAGAAAUCGCAGUUUGAUGCUGAUUUUAUUGUUCAGCAAAGUUAGAUAACUAAAUGGUGAUUCAUAAGAAAAUAUACACUGUGAAAAAAAAAUCUUUUUAACAUUAAAAAAUAUCAUUUUUGUCACAAAAACUCAAAUAUCUCAAAUAUCUCAAAUCCUAUCUUUUUACCAACGUAAUUUUUUAGGGAAAACGGUCCAUUGUAUUAAAAAUUUACCAUAAAAAUUUGGUGAUGAUAAACUAAUAAACAAAAAAGUUAUGAUAAUUAAAACAUUUCAUAAUUUUCACAUUUAGUUAUAAAUUUUUUUUAGUGUAAAUUAUUUCGGCCGGAAAUCGCAGCUUGAUGCUGAUUUUUUUGUUAAUGGCCUUGCGUGAGUAAAACAAGCUGUUUUAAUUAUGUAUUAUGUAUAUUAUAUGUACAGUAAUGUUCCGAUUCUAUCACGCUCUCCGCGCAUUAGUCGUUUAUUCAUUAAUUUGCUGUUACAUUUGAGGACAAGUGUUUUCCCUCUUCUUCAAGAUGAAUGUUGAAAGCGUGUUUUGCAACGUUAAAAAUAUUGAAAUGGGUAUAGAUGUUGAAGCGACUGCUCAUGUUGUUCGUUAGAUUAUAAUAAACACAAUCACUUAUUAGUUUUAACUGACUAGUUUGGUGUUGUUUGCUUGGCUGAAGAAAAAAUUUACUAUUAAAUUUUUAAUAUCCAUAGCGGUAGUAUUUCUUUGUUUUUUCGUGAGCAUUGUCAUGGUAUGUAUACAGACACACAAACGUAACACUGACGAAAUUUCCAUUGACCACGCAUUUAACGAUCAUUUUGAAUCUUGGCUGUGGCUUUCAUAUCCAGAAGAGCGCCCAUCGUGCGUUUGACGUUUCACACUAGCGCCUUCUGAUGACGAUAUUGCACAACGCAGUGUUUCGUGAAACAUUUCCACCAGGUGGUGGUAGUGUGAACUGGGCGAUGGAUUUUCACGAAAAGUGUCCUAGGCGUUUCGUCUGUUUGUCUAUGGUAUGUACCUCUCAUGCAUUUGUUGUUGUUGAAAUUACUCGCAUUCUUCCGAUCAUAAAGUCUGUUCUCUAAGAGGUAAUUUUUUUUUGCAGAUAAACUAGACGUAUACGCGUAUGUAAAACUUUUAUUAUACAGCUUUUGUCUUAAAAAUAAGUUUAAUUCCAUUUUUCUUAUAAUCAACAGCUUUUCAACACUAUCAAGGGAUUUUUUCGCCAGUCACGUACAAUAAAAAGUAUGACACUCUCAAUAUUUUUGAUCACAACACUGGAUCGCGUCUAAGUUUCAAAUAGAUACUAUAGUAAUUAUGAAUAAUCAAACAAAAAUAUCUUGAAAACAACUUGUUUAAUUCAGGUGGUAGCCUUGACAAUAAAAUCAGCAUCAAAAUAUAAUUCUCGAAAUAGUUUACACAGAAAAAAUUUUUUUUUUUGUAACUAAAUCUAAAAAUUGUGAAAUGUUUGAAAUGUCAUAACUUUUUUGUUUAUCAGUUUACCAUCACCAAAAUUUUAUGGUAGAUAGCUGAUAUAAUGGGCCAUUUCCCCUAAAAAAUUGUCGUUGGUAAAAAGAUAGGGUUUUGAGAUAUUUGAGUUUUUGUGACAAAGAUCAUAUUUUUUUGAAGUAAAAAAAGAAAUUUUUUACAGUGUAUAUUUUCUAAGGAAUCAUCAUUUAGUUAUCUAACUUUGCUGAAAAAUUCAUAACAAUCGAACAAUCCGUUUUUGCUGUACAGCUUUUAGAAUAUUUUUGAACUGUUUUCGCACACACCCUUUUGAAAAGUUAGUCGUGAGUGAAUAUGAAGGUUUAAUAUCGAAAAAUGGCGGUUUAGAUGGAACUGAAAAACUGUGCAAAGUUUCAGAUAUUUUUGAAAUGGUCGCUCAGGAUCGACUGACAUGACUCCGUGGAAUUCCUCCGUAGUAAAUUGUUUCCAUUUGCACUGCUUCAGAAAGCCGGAAUAGGAGGCAAUCAGUGAAGUACUAGAUUGAAAGUAGUGAGCUAGAUUUUUGUAUGGUGAGAUGAUCGAUUCUCCAUUUCUGCAAUGAAAUGGUGCAAACAGCGUGGGUUAUAUGAUUACUUGCCUAAUUUGAUGCUGAUUGAGCAAAAGUUUGGAUAACUGUGUUGUUGUAUUAUUUAUUUCUUGCAACUUCAACAACACAGUUACCCAAGUUUUUGGUCAAACAGCAUCAAAUUAGACAAGAAAUCAUAUAACCCACGCUGUUUGCACCAUUUCAUUGCAGAAAUGGAGAAUCGAUCAUCUCACCAUACAAAAAUCCAGCUCACUACUUUCAAUCUAGUACUUCACUGAUUGCCUCCUAUUUGGUUCAAAUUUUGAUUACCCACCCUAUGGAUAAUCAUUUGUUAUAUAGACACUAUAGAUUCCAUAGACUCGCGGAGAUAUGGUUGAGCAAUACGAUUAAAGUGUGUUUUAUCGUGAAUUUACCGAGCAAAUAUGACGUCACGUAGUCCAUUAUAGUUAUUGAAAUCGUGAGACGUCAUGCUCUUUUGACUACACGUUUGGCUACAGUUGUCUACGCCUCCGUGAGUCUAUGGAAUCUAUAUUGUCUAUAAUUUGUAAUCGUCCGUGUUUGCUACCCACCAUCGUUCGGGAGUAAUGCCUGGUUUAGACGGUGGAAGUGACUUAUAAGCGAAGACGUUCUACCAUUUAGCCGUCUUCGUUAUUGACGAUCAAACGCAAAGCUAAAUUGUGCAGGUGGCGUUUUUCUAAAACAGUGAAUUACGAACCCUAGACUGAAUUAAUAAUGAUAUAAAUGGAAGAAAAGUGAAAUUAUUACGGAUUCUCAUAACUUUCAUGCAAUGUAUUGACAAGACAUAUGUUAUUUUUGCUUCCAAAGUUGAAAAUUUUGCGUUACCUAACCUCACAUUUGAUCGCCAAUAAGGCUAUCUGACGUUUGAUCACCUUUCUCUGUUCCGCUCCCGAGGAGAGGUUUGUUUUCAUACGGAAACGUUUCCCUAUGAAAAUAUGAAUAUUAAACAAAAAAUUGCUAUCCUGUGUGACUGCUUGAGAGAGAAGGGUGAUGAACGCUAGAUUGCCUUAUUGAUUCAAGUCAAUGGAAACUGUCAAAUUGAACGCGAAUUGAACGUGUAAACACCACCAUUCGAUAGUGAUUUUUCACAAAGGCCUAACUGACUUGAUCAAUUUCUUAUCGUCGACUCUCUCUUUCGCUAAUAACUUGAUCAAAACAAACAAAAUCAUUAUUCUUUUUGUUUCUAUAGCAACAUGUAGUCGUCUUCUUCGCAUUUUAAUGCUAGGUAUGGACCUCAAACGGAAUCGCUCAAGUAAUUUUCGUUCAGUGCAUUAAUUUUCAGUGACCGGAAUGGUCAAGAAAUUUAACACAGCAAGCCCCAUUUGAUUUGACGUUUCGUUUCAGCUCCGUACUAGGAACCGGAAUAAAGCAACGCUUUCUCAUUUCUUGAGCGAUUGCUUGCCUGAAUUUCCCAUGCAUCGAGAUAGGCCAAGAAAUUUCUUGCGAUCUCCGUACUACCCAUAACCAAAAAAUCUCAGUAAGGCCGAAAUGAAAAAUCAGUGUCGCAUUCAUCUCACCUGAGCAACACACUUGACUUGAACGAAAGUUGAACAUGUUGAACUUCUGCAGUCAAAUCAAACGAAAUCACAAGGGGUUUCCAACAAGUUUUUUUUAAAGACAUGUAAUCAAUGAUUAUUUUAGAUUUCUCUGAGUAAUCAGGUAAUCACAAGUAAUCUGAAGUAAUCAUUAGUAAUCCGAAGUAAUCAAUGGUAAUCAGAUGUAAUCAAUAAUAAUCAGAUGUAAUCAAUGGUAAUCAAAUGCAAUCAACUAGGUAAUCAACGGUAUGUAUAACCAAACAAAGUAAUCAUGAGUAAUUAGUUGUAAUCAUAUGAUAAUCAUAGGUAAACUGAGUAAUCAGUAGUAAUCUUAAGUAAUAAAUAGUAAUCCUGGUUAUCAAUAAGUAAUUAAAGUAAUCACACGUAAUCAUGGUAAUCAGAAGUAAUCAUUAUUAAACUGAGUAAUCUUGAGUAAUCACAAGUAAUCAUGGGGUAAUCAAAAGUAAUCAUUAAUAAUCCGAUUGAUUGAUUGAUUUGUUUUUAUUUAAGAGACUUUCAGCCCUUGGCUGGCUCGUCUCUUUAAUAAUCCGAGGUAAUCAAUGGUAAUCAGAUGUAAUCAAGGGUAACCAAAUGUAAUUAAUGGUAAUCAAAUGUAAUCAAAUACAGUCAGGUUUUUUUACGCUGGGGAUACGUACUGCGUAAAAAAACUCAGUUCAAAAUUCAAAAAACCGCGUGAAAAAAAGUUUCACCAUUUCUCGACGAAUCAUGCAAAAAUAAGACGAUUAUUUUUUUUUGUGUGGGGUUUUCAUUUACGUGGCCGCCUAAAUGAAAACCGCGUAAAAAAGACCAGACUGUAGGUAAUCAACGGUAUAACCAAACAAAGUAAUCAUGAGUAAUCAUAUGAUAAUCAUAUAUGAUAGGUAAUCUGUUUUGAACACCACUGAACUGACAGUUUGGAAGCACCACUGUGACGUCGGUUCGUCGGUGACCAAAAAUCAGUAUUCAAGCUAUAUUUUCAUUUGAGAUCAUUUCAGAUGGUUUCGAAAUAUUCUAUCGGUGAAAAUUUUUCCAUACAUUUUUUGAAGAAAUUGGCCGAAAACGAAAAUUCAUGUAAAUUUGUAUGAAAAACCGUUAAAAAGAUGAAAAUAUCAAAAUUUCACCGAUGAAAUAUUUUAAAAGUUUCUGCAUAUGACAAUAUGGCAUAAAUUCCGACAUUCUGUGGAAGGAAACCCGAUGUACACUCAAUUUUUAUAUUCUGCUCACUAGGGUGCGAGGACGCCAUCUUUUAGAAUCCAACAUGUUGUAUGUAAACAUUUGUGUAUCCACAAAGGAUUCCAUUGUGGAUACACGAUAGAUGUUGGCUCCUGUCAGAUACAUUAGGUGGGAUUAGGGUUCCCGGAUAAAAAAUUACCAUUCAUUACAUGGUAAAUAUUAUUAACAUAUGACUGGUUUUAUUGUUCACAAUAAAACACAUAGUAGAUAUAUUGUUACUUUUUACAAUAGAAAGCAAGCCCAUAUAGUUCGUACAAUAAGUGAACAUUAGCUUUAUUAGUAACUAAUUGAUUCGAUUGUUUUUCAAUAGUUCUAUAAUAAUUUAAAGUUACUAUCAGUAAAAAAUAAUUUAAGUUGUUUUUAUAUAGUUGCAAAAGUGCAUGCAAAGUUCUCAUGGACUUUUUAUUAAAAAAAGAGUUUAUUUCUCAAUUACACUUAAAAACAAUUCGUAGCAAAUAAAUAACAAUAAAUAUUAUUGUUACUUGGAUAAUGUUUGUAUAAUCAAAUACAAAAUCAAUUGACAUAUUUUUUUUAUAGUUUUCGUUUUAAAUUUGAGUACAGUAGAUGUUUCGGUUAUCGAAUGUUAUUCGCUAAAACUUCAACGACUGACAGACGUCAAGCCGUGUUGGCAGAGGAAGAUCUCAAUGAAUAACUGAGGAAGUACUCAUAGAAAACUAGCUGAAAAGCAGGUUUAGCCAAAUGAGGAUGUUACGACAAGAAAAAGAUGAACAAUGAUUUUUCUAAUGUUUUCCAAUAAAUUAAAGGAAUCUAGUAAAUAGUAAACUACCAUUGAUAACAAUACAAAUACAAUUAGUUUAAUGGGGUCAAUUGAACCGAUGUUAAAAUAAACAUGCAAUAAUAUUUGUUGUUAACAGAUUUCGCCUUUGAAAAACCAAAGAAUUCAUAUUUCUCGGUAACAUUUUUCUCCAGCAUUUACAGAUACUAAUGGCCACAUGAAUUGUGAACGAUUUAUGGUAUGGAUCAUACGACCUAAUAUUAUAUACAACAAAUAUUAUUGUAUUUUUAUUGUAACAACGAUUCAUUUGACGCCAUUCAAUUAAUUGUAUUUGUAUUGUAAGAACAAUGAAAAAACAUUAAGAUAUAUUGUUAUUUUUUGAAAAUUGCCCUAAAAAUGUCUCAUAAAAACACAAUACAUUCUAUUGUUUUUCGCGAAAAAGUGUAUGAAAAUUUUCUCAAAAUUUUAUGGUUAAGAUAUUUACAUAACGACCACCAUUUUUUAUUGUAAAAAAGCCAUUUACCAUUCGCCGAAUGGUAUAGAACAAUAGGGGUGAUGGUGAGUUUGCCGUGUAAAUUACAAUGCGUUUAAUGGUGAAUAUUUUUCGAAAAAAUGGUGUUGUAACAAUAAAAUUUAUCGUAUUUUUAUGAUACUUUUUAUCAGGGAAAGAACUGCAAGAAGUCUCAGAUUUUGUGUACCCUGUUUAUUCAAAAGCAGAUGCUCCUACAAAAAUGCAAGAUUUGGUUAAAUAAUUGGCUUAUUUCAUUCAAUCUGAAGAAAUAUAUUAUAAAUGAGUCUUAGUUGUGAACCACAUUCAUUUUUAACAUGAUUUAUUUGAAAAGAAUGUCUAAAUAAUGAAACAAGUAGUUCAUGCUAGAAAUUUAAAUACUUUCGGUGCCAUUUCUCGAAAUAUGAGUCGUCCAAUGUAUAUUAUUUCUGCCAGAAUACAGUCUAGAAGAUAUUGGGAGCUAUUAGAAGACGUAAUAGUAGUAAACGCUGUGAUUUAAGCAAGUGAAACCAUCAUAUUUCAUCAAAACAAUACUUAAAUACGUGAUUUUUUGAUGGUUUGUGUUAUUUUUUUCUGUUAAAACGUUGUUUUUCGCAAAAUUUCAACCUGCUUUGAUCAUGAAACUUUCAUUAGCUUCUUUUGAAACACUUCCGAUAAAAAUAACUACAUCAAAUCUCAAUUGAGAAACAUUUAAAUUAUUAUGACAUAUUUAUAUGAGAUGCAUGCAAAAUUAAUAUGGCAACACUUCCAAAAACGAUCUAAUUCAUGAUUUACAAGUCGAUCUAUAAUGCAGAUCACCAUACAAAACGACUUUGUUGGAUAUGUUUCGAAAUUUGAUAUAUCAAUUGUAUACAAUUCGGCUAAACGAAUGUCUCGGCAAAAAUGACAUUUGAAGGGUUUUCACCCUCAUUUUAGUUUCAGUGUAUAUGUAAGUGUGAGGUAUUACAUUUUUAUAAAACAGUACUAGAUAUUCUAUCACUACGAUAAAAAAGUUUUAUCAUAAAAUCUUUUGUAUGAGUUUCCUGGCACUUUUUUGAAUUUUUUUUAGCCUCGACUAAACGAAUGUCUAUCACUGUAUGGCAUAAAUUCCGACAUUCUGUGGAAAGAAACCCGAUGUACACACAAUUUUUAUAUUCUGCUAGUUCAGACAUAGCGUGGGUAAUCAGAAGUAAUCAGUAAUAAUCUUGAGUAAUCAAUAGUAAUUUUUGUAAUCAAUAAGUAAUCAUAGUAAUCACAGUAAUCAGAGUAUUUUUUUUUUCAGUAGUGACAAGUAAUCAAUUGGGGACUACGAAGGUUGAUGAGCCGGGAAACACUCUUUCUUCCUACGGGGUUUCUUAUGGGAGUAUGAGUGAAAAAAAAGCAAAAAAUCUUCCCUCCUUCACUUUCCCACAGAAAACCGCAAACAAAAUCAUCACCUUCGUGAUCCCCAAUUUAGUUUGAAACCCCUUGCGAAAUCAUCCCACUUGCCCCGUCAAAACCCGCGAUUCAUGUGAGUUGAAUUCAAGCGAAGACGGCUAAUAACAGGACAGACAGCUCCCACCCUAUCGCAGGCGACAAGGUUGAAACGCCCUCAACGAUUCACAGGAACAUGAUUGUGUGCGUGUACAUGCAAAUACGUACACGGAAGCUGCAGCAUCUCACACACACUUAUUAAUUAUGUUGUUCCCGGGAGGCGUUCGCGGUGCUAGUGUGCUUGAAGUUCUCAGAGUAUAUGGAGCAAGAGGGUAGAUGUCUGUCUUGUUAUUAACCGUCUUCGAAUCAAGUCAUCUGUCAAGCUAGAUUAAUUCAAUUCAGUUUGCUUACGCACCGCACGAGUUGAACAAUGUAAACAUCUGUUUCAAGUGAGAUGCAUUCAAGAGCAUGCAAGUGGACACCCAAGUCAUUUUUUCAGUCUUAACACGUCAUUCCAUUGUAUUGAACAUGCUUGAGAAGUUUUCAAGUCAGAUGUUCGUUUGAAUUGAACAGUCUAAACCAGGCAUAAACCAGAGAAGUUGUUUAUUUUUAUUUAUAAACAACUUCUCUGGCAUAAACCUCGCACUCGUUUGGUUUUCUUUCCAUUUAUCUACACGCUCGUUGAAAACUACUCUCAAAUGAGUAAAUUAUACUCACUUUCAAACUUUUGCUAAAUCUGUCAAAGGUGAGUAACAUGCAUUUGUCAAAGUGAGUUAUUAACUACUCUCUUAUAGGAAAAUUAGUGCUUUACUCACUUUUGAGUAUCGGCAUCAGAAAAGAACUCAGUUUCAACCGCCGAAAACUUACGAAAAACAUGCGAAGUCUGGACCUCGGUCCGGACUUAACGAUUAUUAUUGAAAAAUCUAUAUUUUUAAGGUAGUUUUCAUGCGGAAAAGUGUUGAAGAAAAUGAAUCCGGAAAUUGUCCGAAAUGGAAGACCGUGUCCAUGUGACGAAAAAACAUGUCGAAGACGAACAAGCCAAAUUAAUGAGCCCCGAAAGACACCCUGUGUGUGUCCCCGUCCCGGUCGCCGUGGUGUCUCCUUUCAAAGAAUCUGCUUUGGCCAAUAUGCGCUGGAACCACCAAAAAUCAAAGUCGGGAUGGAAUCAGACCGAGGUCCAGACAGUCAAGUGGACCAAGGCGAAGAUUUAGCUAUUUUAUUAUUAUUUUUUCAAUUUUAAAACUGUUAACAUUUAUGCAAUGGAGAAAUAAAUAAAUAAUUAAUGUUAUUGA